GGAUCAUUAACGAAUAUAAUUCGAGGGGUUGUCGCUGGCCUCGCUCGCGCGAGGCAUGUGCACGCUUCUCGUUUUUCUCUCAACUCACCUGUGCACCUAAUGUAGGAUGCCUCUCCUCCGGGAGGGGGGACCUAUGUCUUCGUAACAUCUUCGUGUAGAAAGUCUUUGAAUGUUUUACUAUCAUCGAGUCGCGACUUCUAGGAGACGCGAUUCUUUGAGAUAAAAGUUAUUACAACUUUCAGCAACGGAUCUCUUGGCUCUCGCAUCGAUGAAGAACGCAGCGAAAAGCGAUAUGUAAUGUGAAUUGCAGAUCUACAGUGAAUCAUCGAAUCUUUGAACGCACCUUGCGCUCCUCGGUGUUCCGAGGAGCAUGCCUGUUUGAGUGUCAGUAAAUUCUCAACCCCUCUCGAUUAGCUUYGAGAGGGWGCUUGGAUAGUGGAGGUUGCCGGAGACUUGGAUUCGUCCGAGACUCGGGCUCUUCUGAAAUGCAUCGGCUUGCGGUCGACUUUCGACUAUGYGCGACAAGGCUUUCGGCGUGAUAAUGAUCGCCGUUCGCUGAAGCGCAUGACUGAAHGUCCCGUGCCUCUAAUAYGUCGACCGCUUAUUAUCUCUCCGGAGAGAACAGGGUCUUCCUUAUUGACUUUUGACCUCAAAUCAGGUAGGACUACCCGCUGAACUUAAGCAUAUCAAUAAGCGGAGGAAAAGAAACUAACAAGGAUUCCCCUAGUAACUGCGAGUGAAGAGGGAAAAGCUCAAAUUUUGAAUCUGGCGGUCUUUAGGCCG
rnacentral:rRNA from 1 species